CAAGUACUCCCUCUGUCCCAAAAUUCUUGUCUUAGGUUUGUCUAGAAAUGAAUGUAUCUAAAUACUAAAAUAUGACUAAAUAUAUUCAUAUCUAGACAAAUCUAAGACAAGUAUUUUGAGACGGAGGGAGUACAAU
rfam:Hordeum vulgare subsp. vulgare, WGS project CAJW01000000 data, contig: morex_contig_104836